rnacentral:tRNA from 1 species
GCCUGGGUGGCUCAGUCGGUUGAGCGUCUGACUUUGGCUCAGGUCAUGAUUUCGCGGUCUGUGAAUUUGAGUCCCAUACUGGGCU